GACGAACGCUGGCGGCGUGCCUAAUACAUGCCAGUUGAGCGCUGAAGGUUGGUACUUGUACCGACUGGAUGAGCAGCGAACGGGUGAGUAACGCGUGGGGAAUCUGCCUUUGAGCGGGGGACAACAUUUGGAAACGAAUGCUAAUACCGCAUAAAAACUUUAAACACAAGUUUUAAGUUUGAAAGAUGCAAUUGCAUCACUCAAAGAUGAUCCCGCGUUGUAUUAGCUAGUUGGUGAGGUAAAGGCUCACCAAGGCGAUGAUACAUAGCCGACCGGAGAGGGUGAUCGGCCACAUUGGGACUGAGACACGGCCCAAACUCCUACGGGAGGCAGCAGUAGGGAAUCUUCGGCAAUGGACGAAAGUCUGACCGAGCAACGCCGCGUGAGUGAAGAAGGUUUUCGGAUCGUAAAACUCUGUUGGUAGAGAAGAACGUUGGUGAGAGUGGAAAGCUCAUCAAGUGACGGUAACUACCCAGAAAGGGACGGCUAACUACGU
rnacentral:rRNA from 1 species